GACGAACGCUGGCGGCGUGCUUAACACAUGCAAGUCGAACGAAGAGCGAUGGAAGCUUGCUUCUAUCAAUCUUAGUGGCGAACGGGUGAGUAACGCGUAAUCAACCUGCCCUUCAGAGGGGGACAACAGUUGGAAACGACUGCUAAUACCGCAUACGAUCUAACCUCGGCAUCGAGGAUAGAUGAAAGGUGGCCUCUACAUGUAAGCUAUCACUGAAGGAGGGGAUUGCGUCUGAUUAGCUAGUUGGAGGGGUAACGGCCCACCAAGGCGAUGAUCAGUAGCCGGUCUGAGAGGAUGAACGGCCACAUUGGGACUGAGACACGGCCCAGACUCCUACGGGAGGCAGCAGUGGGGAAUCUUCCGCAAUGGACGAAAGUCUGACGGAGCAACGCCGCGUGAGUGAUGACGGCCUUCGGGUUGUAAAGCUCUGUUAAUCGGGACGAAAGGCCUUCUUGCGAAUAGUGAGAAAGGGAU
rnacentral:rRNA from 1 species